rnacentral:rRNA from 1 species
GUUGGACGCUGGCGGCAGGCUUAACACAUGCAAGUCGAGCGGAGAUGAGGUGCUUGCACCUUAUCUUAGCGGCGGACGGGUGAGUAAUGCUUAGGAAUCUGCCUAUUAGUGGGGGACAACAUUCCGAAAGGAAUGCUAAUACCGCAUACGUCCUACGGGAGAAAGCAGGGGAUCUUCGGACCUUGCGCUAAUAGAUGAGCCUAAGUCGGAUUAGCUAGUUGGUGGGGUAAAGGCCUACCAAGGCGACGAUCUGUAGCGGGUCUGAGAGGAUGAUCCGCCACACUGGGACGGAGACACGGCCCAGACUCCUACGGGAGGUAGCAGUGGGGAAUAUUGGACAAUGGGGGGAACCCUGAUCCAGCCAUGCCGCGUGUGUGAAGAAGGCCUUAUGGUUGUAAAGCACUUUAAGCGAGGAGGAGGCUACUGAGACUAAUACUCUUGGAUAGUGGACGUUACUCGCAGAAUAAGCACCGGCUAACUCUGUGCCAGCCGCCGCCGUAACAC